CCCCUGCAUCGGCAGGCGGACUCUCAACCACUGCGCCACCAGGGAAGCCCAGUAUUUGCAUACAGUGGAAGAUUAAGAAAUACUUGAAGAUUAAUUGUCACACCUGGAGCCAAACUCCUACCCCCCUCUGAGCCUGCCCCUCACCUCCUGAGGCUACAAGGACAGAAUGACAAGGAGAAAUCAGAAAUGUGCCUUAAGAUGAAUAGCAAAUGGAACUGGACAGCAGGUGGGGUCAGAUUCACUAGAAAGCCAAGUGUUGCUUUGCCUAAAUUUUCAGGGAUAUUUUUAUAGGCUUCUGGGGCACUAGAUUGAAGAGCCCACAGAGCUUUGCACCAGCUAAAGAAAAUACAGAAUUCAUAAAUGGGUACAAAAUGUAUCAUGAUGCUAACCGGCACCUGCCACUGACCUGGACGUAGUUUUUAGGAGUCUUUCAAUCCCAAGAGCAAAAGAUUCUGUUCUUAACAAAAUCGAUAAUUGCACAUUUAAUUUUUGAACAUUUCAAAAAUUAAAUGUAUAUAUAUUAUAUGUGUAUUAUAGAUAGAUAGAUAAAUUUACAGAGCUGUUAUUACACCUGGUCAUUAACACAAACGAGACAUUCAUUGAAACGCUAACAUUCAUUGCAAAGGUAUUUACAUGAAUUUACAAAUGCCCUGGACCUCUCUUGAUCUAGAAGAAAAUAGCAGAAGCUUCUUAUUUUGAAAAAUGCGUGGAACUCAGGCUGAUAAGAAACCUUUCAUGCAUUCAUGAAUGCUAACUAGGAAGAUAGUUGCGAACAUUCCAGAUGUUUAUUCCUGUCUCUCUCUCUCACCUCCCCCCCUUGCGUGCUCCUUGAUAACCAAGAUGGAACUUGGAAAGCUCUUUUAUGAAGCUGUCCCAUUGUAUGCUAAGUUAUGGUGGGCUCCAGACUGAUCCCCUGACAAAAGUCCUUUGUUUGGGGAUUCCCUCUAUAAACUGGGACUCAGUGAAUUAUGCUGCUUCUAGGAAGCUUUCCGCGGCUGAUUAUAUUUACCUAAGCAAGCAUUAUUUUCUGUCUUGUUCUCUUCUUUUUCUCAAGCAUAAUUCAGAUCUCAGGAAAGCAUGAGAAAUAUAAGGCACUUGCUAGCCAAACAACGAGGUAUUUCCGGCUCCUCUACUCUGAAAAUGAUUGAGGCGUUUUUCGUAACAAGCAUGUGCCGCUUUUUAAAAAAUUGUAUUUUUCGAUAGAAUGUUUCCCCUGAGUACUAGGUUUGUGGGCUACGAAGUAGAUGAAACGUCCUGAUUUGGACAUAUUUUCCUUGUCUGCUGUUUCUGUUCACUUUUAGUUUUACUUAGUGUUAUUUCCACAGUUGAGGGGUGGGGAAAAGAAGCAUGAAAACAGCUAUUUCCUAUUCAUCAUUUUAAUCCUAGAAUAAGAUCUUUAUUGUUUUUUAAAUGAGAUGGGGGGAUGGUUUAAGAGGAAGAUUACAAAGAUUUUUAUUUGGGGUACUCUCUUUAAAGAAAACUAGUGGGACCUUUAAGAAAAAAGGUCGAGUCACAUAAAAUGAGAGAAGCAAAGGACAAAAUGGUAAUAAAGGGGGGGGCAUUGGGGGAUGUGCGUGUUCCGUUAGGACGGGGACGGUCUCUCUUCUUCCAUGCAAAGCAGCCUUCUUUUCGUGAGAAACCAACUCCCUGGGUUAUUAGAUUCACAAUGAGUUCCCCAGAUGUAGUUCCCAGGAGUAAGGAUUCUCAGAGGAAUAAAGAGAACCCUAGAGGCUUCUGUUUGUUUUGUUUUGUUCUUGUUUUAGUAAAGUUUUGGCGAGGUAAUGCUUCCAAGUGGUUCAGAAAUCACAAGAGUAUAACAAACAGUGAAAAGUCUCUCUUAACUGCUGUUCUGCAGUCACCUGUUUGCCUUCUCAGAGUCAACCCCUUCUAGUUUAUUUGGUGCGUUAUAAUAUCGGGAGAUGUAUUGUGCGUGCAUCAGCAAAUAUAAACAUAUAUUCCUUUUCCAACUUUCCUUACACAGCGUUAACGUACCUUACAGAUUGUUUGGCACUUUCUCCCAUGGACGACACGUUGAUCUUGGCCAUUGUUUCAUCUCAGUACACAGAGCGCUCAUCAAUCUUUUCUAUGGCUGCAUACUGUUCCACUGUAAAUGUACCUUAACCUAUUUAACCGUCCCCAGUUGAUGGGCGUUUAGGUCGCCUUUGAUCUCUUGCUAUUACAAACAGUGCUGCCUUGGCUCAUCUUGAUGGGACGUCAUUUCACACAUGUGUGAGUAAUUCUGCAGGGGCGGCCCUCCAAGUGGAAAUGGUGGGUCAAAGAGUUUGUUAUUAGCCCGUGGGUGGAGAGGGAAGACUUGAGAUGUUCGUUGUUAUUUAUAGGGCUAGGUUUUCAUGCCUUCUUUUUUUCCCUACCUUAAUAUUUACAUUUAGGUUACCCAAAUAAUACAUGAACACGUUCUCCCUGUAGCUUAAACCAAUAAACAAACAAUCCAGAAGGAUACAUGGUAAAAUGUGAAAGUCCCCUUUGAAUUCUCAACGCCCUACCCUUCACCUCCACAUUCUCCUUCUCAAAAGCAAUUCCCCUUCUCAGAGUUAACCACUGUGAGAUAGUGCACGUAAUUCCAGACCUGUCUAUGCAUUUACAUUUCGAUUCACAUACCUAUUUCUGUGUAGGUCCAGAUAGAUAGAAUACACAAAUAGGUGUUCAUAUGGGUAUAUAUAAAUAGAAAAGCUUACCAUAGUGCUUGUGAAACUUUUACGUGCUGAAAACUCACCUAUGGAUUUUGUUAAAAUGCAGGAUCUGCGGGAAUUCCCUGGCGGUGCAGUGGUUAGGACCCGGCGCUUUCACUGCUGGGCCGGGUUCAGUCCCUGGUCAGGGAACUAAGAUCCUACAAGCUGCGUGGUGUAGCCAAAAAAGAGGGGAAAAAAAAAGGCAGGAUCUAAUUCAGUGUGUCUGGGGUGAGAGCUGAGCUUCCCCGUUUCUAACAGUCUCCUAGAUGCUGCUGAUACUGCUGAAUUUGGGUAUCUUUUUGGUUUUUAUUUGUUUUGUUUUUCUAUAAAUGAAAGCAUACCUA